CAACCGGUUGGCCGUUGAUGUCCCUUUAUUGGGUGUUUUCGGUAGCCGGUACGUUUACUUUGAAGAAAAUUAGAGUGCUUAAAGCAGGCCUUACGCCUGAAUAAUGUUGCAUGGAAUAAUAGAAUAGGACCUCGGUUCUAUUUUGUUGGUUUUGUAGAGCAUUGAGGUAAUGAUUAAUAGGGACAGACGGGGGCAUUCGUAUUGCGGUGUUAGAGGUGAAAUUCUUGGAUCGCCGCAAGACGAACAACUGCGAAAGCAUUUGCCAAGAAUGUUUUCAUUAAUCAAGAACGAAAGUUGGAGGUUCGAAGACGAUUAGAUACCGUCCUAGUUCCAACCAUAAACGAUGCCAACUAGCGAUUAGCUGCUGUUAAUUAAACGACACAGCUAGCAGCUUCCGGGAAACCAAAGUCUUUGGGUUCCGGGGGGAAGUAUGGUUGCAAAGCUGAAACUUAAAGGAAUUGACGGAAGGGCACC
rnacentral:rRNA from 1 species